ACUGUUAAUAUAUCUUUUAUUAUAUAAUCAUGAAUGGAUAAGAACUAUAUUGAAUUACAUUUAUACCUUCGGUUUGACAGAAGGCAAAGGUACAAGCGUGAUGCACGAGCGAGUACAAGUCAGCGUGAACAGUACAGGGUACUGUUCAUCUAUUUAUAGGCACAGGACGCAGCCUGUGUAAAAUUACAUUUAUGCCCUUUAUAUUUACUAUUGACUCAUGGACAACCCAACGAGGAUUAGAUAGCAUUUUCCCCUUUAGGUCGGUUCCUUUUUUUACUGCUGAGCCGAAGCUCCCUUGCGCGUAGCUUCGGAGCAGCAUCAACCUUCGUCUCGACCAUGCUUUCCACAUCGUGUACGAUUUUAACCCGAGUCCGAAGGUGCCUAUUCAUAUAUUACACUUGGGAAACAUUGUUAAAUCAUGUUUUUGAGGACCUUCGGGAGACGAAGGCCCCCAACAAUAUCUUAGUCAAAUUAUCAUCAUGGACCAGAUUAACUUUGGUCAAGAGGAUUAAACUACUAAUCAUAGGCUAAACCAAUAUUUAUUUAUAAAAAUAUGCUUUAUGGUACAAAUAAUGUCGCCACUGCGUAGACAAUUUUAUUACGAAGCUAAUGCAACUUGAACGGGUUAAAUCGGAGUUAAAACGCGAAAGAGAUUUUUUAACCCUUUGUAUUUAUUUUUAUAUUAUAAAUCAAUUUCUAGAAUUCCUUUAUAAAGUUAGGGGCUAUUUUACAAAAUUCUGGGACCUAAAUGUAAGGAUUCCAUUAUAGCCAUGGACGGUGGAUUAGUAUUUGAGUUCCUCAAGGGCUUUUAUGUAAAGAGGCGUGCGGCGAAGGGGUAUGAUUUAUUAUGGGCCGCUCAGAUCUAAAUCAUCGGCACAGAUUAGACCAUUCAUCCAAGUGAACCGGUUGCGCUAUCGGCCGUUGAUUGUGAGAUUUGCGGUGAGGAUUUAAUUAAAACGAGAUCCACCCAUGAUCCUCCGAUUCGAAUCCAACGCACCUGCUUUGAACACUGACAUGGUACCCUCAUAUUUAAUCCAGACCGUCAAUCAAGGGCGGACGGCCACCGCGCUCUCCUCCUUCCCACGAUGCCUCCCAGGCAGCGCCGCCCCGCAAGCACGGCGGAGGGUAUGUCGGAGCGUUGCGAUUUCGCAUAGCAAUGCCCCAUCUCAUGCGUAGUGGUGAACCCAGCAGACUAGAUCAGGGUGACGUACCGGCGGGUGAGGAGUCGACAAUUCCUAGACACGGCAUCAUGCGGCACAGCGGCGGUGGAGAAGAUCCGGCGAGAAAUCGCCAUGCCUUCACAGUCUCCUGCGCUCAGCGAUGUAGUUCCCCAUGUUCACCACCUCCUAGCACACCUCCCACAUCGCACGUAAGUCACCAAUCUACGCUGUGCUCAACUAGCGACGGUGGCGGUGGUCGGGACCCUCUCUGUUCUCUCUCUACGUGAGCCCUUGGUUCAUGGUGCUCUCCCGUGAUGAAGACAACUAGGGGGUGCUGUGCUCAGUAGUUAUCUGUCGGGGCCAAGGAAUCCGCAAGACCGGUAGCAGAGCAACGC
rnacentral:lncRNA from 1 species